AAACAUUUCCUUUAGGGGUUAAUUUGAGGUUUGACCUGCCCACUGAAAAUUAAAUGGCCGCAGUAUUUUAACUGUGCAAAGGUAGCAUAAUCAUUAGUCUUUUAAUUGGAGGCUGGAAUGAAUGGUUGUACAAAAUAUUAGCUGUUUCUUAUAAGAGUUAAAAUAAAAUUUUACAUUUAUGUUAGAAGGCUAAAAUAAGAUUAAAAGACGAAAAGACCCUAUAAAUCUUUAUAUUUAAAUUAUUUUAGUUAUUUAGUUUAAUUUAGCUUUAAUAAUGUGUUUAUUUUAUUGGGGUGAUAUUGAAAUUUAAAUAACUUUUAAUUAUUAUUAACAUGUUUAAUGAAUUAAAGGUCUAUUAUUUAUAAUUAAUAAAUUAAGUUACUUUAGGGAUAACAGCGUAAUUUUUUUAAAUAGUUCUUAUUGAUAAAAAAGUUUGCGACCUCGAUGUUGGAUUAAGAGUUAAUUUUAGAAGCAGUAAUUAGAAAUUUUGGUCUGUUCGACCUGUAAAUUCUUACAUGAU
rnacentral:rRNA from 1 species